rnacentral:rRNA from 1 species
AGUGAACGCUGGCGGUAGGCCUAACACAUGCAAGUCGAACGGCAGCACAGUAAGAGCUUGCUCUUACGGGUGGCGAGUGGCGGACGGGUGAGGAAUACAUCGGAAUCUACUUUUUCGUGGGGGAUAACGUAGGGAAACUUACGCUAAUACCGCAUACGACCUACGGGUGAAAGCAGGGGAUCUUCGGACCUUGCGCGAUUGAAUGAGCCGAUGGCGGAUUAGCUAGUUGGCGGGGUAAAGGCCCACCAAGGCGACGAUCCGUAGCUGGUCUGAGAGGAUGAUCAGCCACACUGGAACUGAGACACGGUCCAGACUCCUACGGGAGGCAGCAGUGGGGAAUAUUGGACAAUGGGCGCAAGCCUGAUCCAGCCAUGCCGCGUGGGUGAAGAAGGCCUUCGGGUUGUAAAGCCCUUUUGUUGGGAAAGAAAAGCAGCAGGUUAAUACCCCGCUGUUCUGACGGUACCCAAAGAAUAAGCACCGGCUAACUUCGUG